AAGAUACUCGGCCUUAGUGGGAUAACGACCCCAAUAUCCUAGGUGAGAAUAUCGCAGGUCUUAUCCAGGUAUUUUCCAGCCAUGUGCAUUAGAAGCCAUUAAAUGACCGAGCCAAGUCAUCGAUCAUUCUUAAUGUUGAGCCCAUGCCGUGGGCGAGUCGUAUCAGUCAGAGCCAUCUUACGGCAAGCCGUGAACUCAAGGCCUC
rnacentral:misc_RNA from 1 species